UACACCUGUUCCCAUGCCGAACACAGAAGUUAAGCUUCUUAGCGCCGAUAGUAGUUGGGGGUUUCCCCCUGUGAGGGUAGGACGUCGCCA
rnacentral:rRNA from 1 species